AGUGCCGCCAGGGCCCCCGCGCCGCCCGCCAGCGCCGCGCACCCCACGCACGCGCCCACGAUCCACGCCGUGUUGUCCACCUCUGCGGCACACACGAGGUAUGUGGUGAAAGAUGAAGGUGUAGUAUCAAGCAAGUGGUGGCGCUGCCGACGACCGUCAACUCGUCAACUAUGCUACUGCCAACGUGUAGUCACCAGCCCGCGCUGCACCCGAGGCCGCCGCGUCAGCGAGCGCACUGCACACAACCACUCGGCCGUCCAUAUGUGAUACCACUGACUUUUAUCGACCUACACAUUAUAUCACGCGAUAACUCCAAGGCAGUGCAUUAAUGCUAAUCAUGUGAAGAGGGAUGUCCCUUGCCGCAACAAAUGCUGCAGAAUGGAACAGGGAAUAACUGGGUGUUACUAGUACUAACGCGGUUACGGGAGACUCAAAUUACUCGGGUAUAGCAAUUCUUCAAUGUUCAUUCGCGGUGACAAGUGACGCGACAUCAUGAUUGUUGCCCGAACUGUACCUCCACAAAGUGUUUCAUAUUAUUUUAAAGACCCAGUGUUAACUUUAGUUGACAAAUAAAAGUAUCUGUGAGUGUAUGUAGUCAUUAACUAUUAGCUA